rnacentral:rRNA from 1 species
CUACAGAGGGUGCGAGCGUUAAUCGGAAUUACUGGGCGUAAAGCGCGCGUAGGCGGCUUAUUAAGUCAGAUGUGAAGUCCCCGGGCUCAACCUGGGAACUGCAUCUGAUACUGGUAAGCUAGAGUUUGGGAGAGGGAAGUAGAAUUUCAGGUGUAGCGGUGAAAUGCAUAGAGAUCUGAAGGAAUACCAGUGGCGAAGGCGACUUCCUGGCCUAAAACUGACGCUGAGGUGCGAAAGCGUGGGUAGCAAACGGGAUUAGAAACCCCAGUAGUCC